GACCACGGCCAUACCACGUUGGAAACACCGGUUCUCUUGUGAUCACCGAAGUUCAGCAACAUCGGUCCCGGUGGGUACUUGCAUGGCUGACCGACUGGGAAUACCGGGUGUUGCGGCCG
rnacentral:rRNA from 1 species